CAGAGACUGCAAGCGUUAUUCGGAUUCACUGGGCGUAAAGGGUGCGCAGGCGGUCGUGUGUGUCAGAUGUGAAAUCCCGGGGCUUAACUCCGGAACUGCGUCUGAAACUGCACGACUAGAGCAUUGGAGAGGGUAGUGGAAUUCACGGUGUAGCAGUGAAAUGCGUAGAUAUCGUGAGGAACACCAGAGGCGAAGGCGACUACCUGGACAAUUGCUGACGCUCAGGCACGAAAGCAUGGGGAGCAAAAGGGAUUAGAUACCCCUGUAGUCCAUGCCCUAAACGGUGCACACUAGGUCUUGGAGGAUUCGACCCCUUCAGGGCCCAAGCUAACGCGUUAAGUGUGCCGCCUGAGGACUACGGUCGCAAGACUA
rnacentral:rRNA from 1 species